GAUGAACGCUGGCGGCGUGCCUAAUACAUGCAAGUCGAGCGAAUGGAUUAAGAGCUUGCUCUUAUGAAGUUAGCGGCGGACGGGUGAGUAACACGUGGGUAACCUGCCCAUAAGACUGGGAUAACUCCGGGAAACCGGGGCUAAUACCGGAUAACAUUUUGAACCGCAUGGUUCGAAAUUGAAAGGCGGCUUCGGCUGUCACUUAUGGAUGGACCCGCGUCGCAUUAGCUAGUUGGUGAGGUAACGGCUCACCAAGGCAACGAUGCGUAGCCGAACUGAGAGGGUGAUCGGCCACACUGGGACUGAGACACGGCCCAGACUCCGACGGGAGGCAGCAGUAGGGAAUCUUCCGCAAUGGACGAAAGUCUGACGGAGCAACGCCGCGUGAGUGAUGAAGGCUUUCGGGUCGUAAAACUCUGUUGUUAGGGAAGAACAAGUGCUAGUUGAAUAAGCUGGCACCUUGACGGUACCUAACCAGAAAGCCACGGCUAACUACGUGCCAGCAGCCGCGGUAA
rnacentral:rRNA from 1 species